rnacentral:rRNA from 1 species
AGAUUGAACGCUAGCGGGAUGCUUUACACAUGCAAGUCGAACGGCAGCGCGGACUUCGGUCUGGCGGCGAGUGGCGAACGGGUGAGUAAUAUAUCGGAACGUGCCCAGUAGCGGGGGAUAACUACGCGAAAGCGUGGCUAAUACCGCAUACGCCCUACGGGGGAAAGGGGGGGAUCGCAAGACCUCUCACUAUUGGAGCGGCCGAUAUCAGAUUAGCUAGUUGGUGAGGUAAAGGCUCACCAAGGCGACGAUCUGUAGCUGGUUUGAGAGGACGACCAGCCACACUGGGACUGAGACACGGCCCAGACUCCUACGGGAGGCAGCAGUGGGAAUUUGGACAAGUGGGGAAACCUGAUCCAGCCAUCCCGCGUGUGCGAUGGAACGGUCCGUUCGGGUUGGUAAAGCGUACGUUUCGGCGAGGGAAGGAAACGGACGGUACGCCCGUAACGUACGGUAACGUCGAACGUCGAACCGGUACC